rnacentral:rRNA from 1 species
ACUUUUAACAACGGAUCUCUUGGUUCUGGCAUCGAUGAAGAACGCAGCGAAAUGCGAUAAGUAGUGUGAAUUGCAGAAUUCAGUGAAUCAUCGAAUCUUUGAACGCACAUUGCGCCCCUUGGUAUUCCAUGGGGCAUGCCUGUUCGAGCGUCAUUU